GACGAACGCUGGCGGCAGGCCUAACACAUGCAAGUCGAGCGAGAAGCCAUGUUUCGGCAUGGUGGAGAGCGGCGGACGGGUGAGUAACGCGUGGGAACGUGCCCUUGAGGUACGGGAUAACACCGGGAAACUGGUGCUAAUACCGUAUACGCCUGGAUUUUAUGGUUCAGGGAAAGAUUUAUCGCCUUAGGAUCGGCCCGCGUAAGAUUAGGUUGUUGGUGUGGUAACGGCGCACCAAGCCUGCGAUCCUUAGCUGGUCUGAGAGGAUGAUCAGCCACACUGGGACUGAGACACGGCCCAGACUCCUACGGGAGGCAGCAGUGGGGAAUUUUGGACAAUGGGGGCAACCCUGAUCCAGCAAUGCCGCGUGAGUGAAGAAGGCCUUCGGGUUGUAAAGCUCUUUUGUUCGGAAAGAAAUCGCUCUGGCUAAUACCUGGAGUGGAUGACGGUACCGGAAGAAUAAGCACCGGCUAACUACGUG
rnacentral:rRNA from 1 species